AUGUGAAAGCCCCCGGCUCAACCGGGGAGGGCCAUUGGAAACUGGGAGGCUUGAGUAUAGGAGAGAAGAGUGGAAUUCCACGUGUAGCGGUGAAAUGCGUAGAGAUGUGGAGGAACACCAGUGGCGAAGGCGACUCUGUGGCCUAUAAAUGACGAUGAGGCGAGAAAGCGGAGAAAGGAAACAGGAUAAAAUACUUAGGUAAUCUUGGCCGCCAACAAUGAGUGAUAGGUGUUGGGGGGUCCCUUGCCUUUACCGCUGAAGUUAACACAUUAAACCCCCCCCCUGGGGGGAGCGGCGGCACUGAAAGGAAUAAAAAGAAUCGCCGGGGCCCCGGCCCAACCGUGGAAUGAUUUGUUUUAUUCGAAGCAACGCGAAGAACCUCCCCGACAUCUUCCACAUCCCUGACAGAUUAAAAAAGGUAACUUUUCCUCGGGGGGCAAGGGGUAAAGGUGGGCCAUGGAUGUCGCCAGCCUCGUUCGUGAAAUUUUUGGUGAAGUCCCGCAACGCGCGCAACCUUUUCCUUUAGUUCCCAGCCUCAAGUUGGCCCUCUAAGGGAGACUGCCGGUGACAAACCGGAGGAAGGUGGGGAUGCCGUCAAAUCAUCAUGACCCUUAUGAGUUGGGCGCCACCCGUGCCACAAAGGACGGUACAAAGGCCAACGAAGCCGCGAGGUAGAACCAAUCCCAGAAAACCGUUCUCAGUUCGGAUUGCAGGCCGCAACUCACCCGCAUGAAAUCGGAAUCCCUAGUAAUCGCAGGUCAGCAUACUGCGGUGAAUACGUUCCCGGGUCUUGUACACACCGCCCGUCACACCACGAGAGUUUGCAACACCCGAAGUCGGUGAGGUAACC
rnacentral:rRNA from 1 species